rnacentral:rRNA from 1 species
AUACGGAGGUUGCAAGCGUUAUUCGGAAUCACUGGGCGUAAAGGGUGCGUAGGCGGUUUGAUAAGUCUGAUGUGAAAUCCUAUGGCUCAACCAUAGAACUGCAUUGGAAACUGUCAGACUAGAAUACUGAAGGGGCAGAUGGAAUUAGUGGUGUAGGGGUAAAAUCCGUAGAUAUCACUGGGAAUACCGAAAGCGAAAGCGAUCUGCUGGGAAGUUAUUGACGCUGAGGCACGAAAGCGUGGGGAGCAAACGGAAGUAGAUACCCUUGUAGUCC